CCAGUUGGCCGGACGGUCGCGGCGCGUCAGCGUCGAGGAAAGUCCGGGCUCCAGACAGACACGGUGCCGGAUAACGUCCGGCGGGGGCGACCCCAGGGAAAGUGCCACAGAAAGCAAACCGCCCCGGCACGCCGGGGUAAGGGUGAAAGGGUGCGGCAAGAGCGCACCGCGACGCCGGUAACGGCGUCGGCACGGCAAACCCCACCGGGAGCAAAACCGAAUAGGGAUGGCACGGCGAAAGCCAGCGGUGUCUUGCCCGCCGCCAUCCGGGUUGGUUGCUUGAGGCGCCCAGCAAUGGGCGUCCCAGAGGAAUGGCCGUCACGCGGGGGUAACACCGCGCGCUACAGAACCCGGCUUACAGGCUGACUGGCGUC
rfam:Proteobacteria bacterium SG_bin8 2304, whole genome shotgun sequence.